GCUCCAAUAGCGUAUAUUUAAGUUGCUGCAGUUAAAAAGCUCGUAGUCGACUUUCGGGCGGGUUGCGCUGGUCCGCCUUUGGUGUGCACUGGCGUGUCCGCUUCUGCCGGGGACAGGCUCCUGGGCUUUACUGUCCGGGACCUGGAGUCGGCGCUGUUACCUUGAGUAAAUUGGAGUGUUCAAAGCAGGCAUACGCUAUG
rnacentral:rRNA from 1 species